UUGCUUCAGCAGCACAUAUAAUAAAAUUGUAACAAUACAUAGAAGAUUAGCAUGGCCCUUGAGCAAGGAUGACAUGCAAAUCUGUGAAACAUUCCAUACUUUA